ACGCUCGACACCUACGGGAGGCAGCAGGUUGGGAAUAUUGGACAAUGGAGGAAACUCUGAUCCAGUGACGCCGCGUGAAGGAAGAAGGUCUUCGGAUUGUAAACUUAUUUUGUCAGGGAAAGAAAAAUGACUGUACCUGAAAGAAAAAGCACCGGCUAACUACGUGCCAGCAGCCACGGUAAUCUGAGCGGGCUGGCAAGGC
rnacentral:rRNA from 1 species